rnacentral:rRNA from 1 species
UACUAGAGUAGCACUCGCAUAUCAAUAAGCGGAGGAAAAGAAACUAACUAGGAUUCCCUCAGUAACGGCGAGUGAAGCGGGAAGAGCUCAAAUUUGAAAUCUUCAAGGUUCUACCUCGACGAAUUGUAGUUUAAAGAAGUGUUUUCUGUUAGUAGAGUGGCAAAAGUUCUUUGGAAUAGGACAUCAUAGAGGGUGAGAAUCCCGUAUUUGGUCAUUCUUUCUAGCUUUGUGAUACACUUUCAACGAGUCGGAUUGUUUGGGAAUGCAGUCCAAAAUGGGUGGUAAAUUUCAUCUAAAGCUAAAUAUUGGCGAGAGACCGAUAGCGAACAAGUACCGUGAGGGAAAGAUGAAAAGAACUUUGAAAAGAGAGUUAAACAGUACGUGAAAUUGUCAAAAGGGAAGCGUUUGACACCAGUGUUGUUUUUCCGAAAAUCAAUUACGAAUGUUUUGUUUUUGAGAAGUUAUGACUUCAUCGGCUUGCUUCUUUCUUUACGAAACUUUCUUAAUGCACUUUUCGGUUAACAAGUCAACAUCAAUUUCUUUUGUUGUAAAAGGGUAUGAGGAAGGUGGCUUUCUUUUCGGAGAAAGUGUUUAUAGCCUUGUACCUCUGCAAUCGGAGAGAUUGAGGUCUGCAGCGUAGAUCCUUCGGGGUUAGAUACAUUUGUGCUAAGUUAUAGCUUUUCAUAGACAACUUGUUGAUUAUGUUUAGUCUUGUAGCUUACUCGCUUAUGCUAUUUUACCUACGCUUAGGAUGUUGAAGAUGUAGCACAUCAU